UCUUUGUGUCGGUGGUUCAAGUCCACCUCCAGACA
rnacentral:tRNA from 1 species